UAUCUUCCUUGUCGUAAUCUUAGCAUUUCUUUGUUGUUAUGUUUAAUUUUCCAUGCGUUUAGAAAUCAAAUCGCUUAUAUUUAAUUGUCUGUUCCCUGUUAGAUUUGAGAAAAACAUGAUUGUGUGAUUAUUUUAGUCUCAACAUAUGUACUUCUUGUUUUGUCUAUUUUAGGAAGUGGGAGAAUGAUUAAGUGUGAGGAUAUCCUAAUGUUAGAAUCCCUGUUAGAAUAGAAAACAUAGGAUUACAAGAUUUUUUUUUUUUUUUUUUUUAAUUAUCGAUGUGCAUCUUGAUUUGUUACAAGUAACUGUUGAAUAACAUAAGGUCAUGUUUGAAGAUUUUUUCAUUAAAAUGAAGGUCAUAGCCACUCUUGGAGUAAUGAAGAAUGGAAGAUAAUAACUCAUUUCAAGUUUAGAUUAAGAGAUGAUUUUCCAGUUUCUCUUUGUUUUUCUGUUAAAGAAAAACAGUGGUGGUUCGCAUGUUAGUUUCUUUUGGAUACUUUGCCUAAUUAAAAUACAUGUUUGAUGACCAAGUUUUCCCAUAUUUCUUUGUGUUGUGAUUAGAAUUAACUGUAGCAUCUUCUUUUGAAAAUUAGAGCUUGAUAUUAAAAGAGAAAUUAUGGUCUGUUUAACCUAAAACUAAUUCACAUUUGUUCUCCAAAGAGAUAAGAAUAGCCACUGGUUCAUGUUAAAAAUUGUGUUCAACUCUAGUUUUCUUUGUUUUGCUAAAUGAUUAAAGAAGACAAUGUGUAACCCUUUGAAGUGGUUUAGGUCCCAGGAGUGUGGUUGAAGUGCCCAUCUACUUUCAUUUAAAGGAAUGCUAAAAGAUAAAUUUGUCUAAAAUAGAACAUAUCUUUCUUUUUCCUUAGGCUAAGUAAAAUCUCUUAGAAAUUAUUAAUUAGCUAAUGCCUGUGUGUGUUUUAAAAUAGUGAAUAUAAAUACAACUCACUGUGUACUGCUUAUCUUACCUAGUUGAUUCAAAGAACUAGCUGUUAUUUCCUAAAGAUGCUGCUAAGUUCAAGUGUUUUUUUUUUUUUAGAUGGACUAAAUGCCUUUUAAAGAACUGAGAGUACCAACUCCUUUAAGUCCUUUCUAUUAACUCAGCAUGUUUGUUCUUGAGAUUUCCAUGAAGGGGUGUAGUUUUGUUAUGUGAUAUGUUUACACUUAGUUGGGUUGAAGCUCUUGGAAGAAUCCAGUUUCUUAAACUAUGGAUAGAUUGGUUUUAGCUGUUGGCAUUUCUUUUUUAUCAUGAAUUGAUAGAUCUAAAUUGCUUGCGAUUACUUAAAAUGGAGUUGCUUUUGUUCCCAGAAAAGGUUUACCAAGUUUAAGUGAUUAGGUACAUUUGUUUAGCUCAUGAAUUAUAGUGUGUGCUCAUGUAAUCUUUCCCUAUUGAAAAUGUUGACUGAAACAAUUGAGGUUAAUCACUAAACUUCUAUUUUAAGGCUAGAAUGAAUAAUGUGCACUCUUGUUUUGAGAAUUCUUGAUGGAUUAUAUGCUCAUCCACUUGUGAAAUCUGAACUUUAGUCUAUAUAUGAUUUGUUAUACGUGACUAAAUCAUGAUAAUCAUUCAAUAAGCCCAAUGCUCUGUACUCUAUUUGUGCUUGUUGAAAAUAUGCAUUACUGGAAUACUCAUUCUUUACCCUUCCUUUUCUUUGCAUGACUUGGGAAAAUUUCCCAACCCUAAAUAUUCCUGAGACACUACUGCCCUUGAGAUGCUGCACACUUGGCCAUUCUGUUGCUAUCUUGAGUUGCUAUUUGAUGAAAAUGGUUAUUGCUUGGUUUGUUGCUGUUUUUUUAGGGCAUCUCUGUUUGCCUAGUGAGUAAACUCAUAGUUGCAAACCAUUGUAAGUUACUGCUACAUUGUUGAGCCUUUCUCUGUUGCAUUUGUGGCCAACCUGUGGCUUCAUAUGAAUGUAAGUUGUUGCUACUCUGCCUGAUAAAUAUAGUUGUUGUGUUUGAUGAGCUACUAUUUAAGAUUAUGCCAUAUUUUGAACUGUGGCUGCACUUGGAGAGAGUAACUGCCUACAUUUAAGCUAAAAUUGAUGUUGUUCUUUGGUAAAAUAUCAUUAUUUACUGCUUGUUGUCUUGCUGUAUUUGUUGCCACCUAUUAUUACUUGUGGCUGUGGCAUUCUUUCUGAUUUGUUGCAUUUUAAAGGCUCCCAAAAUGUUGCAUUUUGGAAAAAUUAGUUGUUGCCUCAUUGCUUAAAAGAAAUCGAUACUACACUUGAUGGGAAGUAGUUGAUCCUAUAUUUAUUAUAUCCUAUUGUUGUUGCUUUCCUGCCACUUAUUGUUGCCCUUCAAGGGCUGAUUGUUGCUAAAAUUUAUGGCCUGAAUGUUGAUCAAUAUUGAAUACUUUGAGUUGAGUUAUGUCACUAAGUUAACUGCUAUCAUUUGAGAGGUCACUGCUGCCAUACUUUAGGCAAAGCAAAUGGCUGAAUUUGAGGGUAAAUGAGUUGCAUUCUCUAGACAUUUCGAGGCAAAAUAGUUGCUGCCAUGUUUUCUUUUUAAUGAAGCUGACUGCUAGAGUCUGAUGCAUUGUUUCCAAGGCAAAUGGGUGCUGCAUCUGAGCCAAAGUGCUGAUGCACUUUCAGGCAGAUGCUGCACUCUUGAGUUAAAAGUGUUGCUGCAUUAUAAAACAAAUAGAUGCCACACUUUGGAGGAUGUUGUUGUCUUGAUGGGUACAAAUGUUACACUUUGACGUGCUGCACCUUUGAGUUGAUGAAGGACUAUUCUGAUCAACUCUCUGUUGGGGCAUUUUUGAAGCAGCAAUUACUGCUUUUAUGUAAAUGAGCAGAUACCACACUUGAUAGCUGAGGCUAUACAAUUGUAGAUUUGCUGAGGUUAAAGCUGUUAGGCAGCUGCUCAUUUUUCAGAGAUCCUGUACUCUGAUUUUGCCCUCAAAUAUCUCUUGAUAAACUCAUUGAUUUGAACAGAAGCUAUACUUUUGGCCGAUGAGAACAUUUAAUUUGAGCCCAUGCCUUUUCCGGAAAGGUUAUCCCUCGGUUUAGGCAAUAAUGAUCUCACAGUGAUAUCAAGAGGUAGGAACCAACACGCGCUUGGCAAGGCAACUAGAAUGGCCACUAGUUUGCAGCCGCGACAUGAUUCGGGUUCCUUUGCCAUAUUCGGAACCGUGAGUCUGAGCCUCCGUAAUCAAAGCUCUCAAAGUUUGAUACGAGUCCGAAGGAUAUUAUUAUUUAUGCUCCUAAAUGUCACCCUACGGGGUGGCGUAUCAUUUUGACUAACUACUUUCCUUUUCAUUGUGUGAGGUACCAAUAAAAUAAGCACGGAAAAUAAAACUUAAGGACGAAGUAAAAGGAUCAGAUGCUUAGAGCUUCGGACGAAGACUAGAAGAGUAUGGGAUUUGGGCCCAAGGCCAACAAUGUUAAACUUUCUUCCCUUUAUUUUCGUAUAAAACAUGCUUAUUUUAUAUGUUUACAUUCACUUUGUAUGAACAUGCUUUUUGUUGUAAAUAUUUGUAUAGAUAUUGAAACCCUUAUAAGUUGGAACCUAGGAUUCAGGUAGACGAUAUUUCAAAUUGUACCCGAACGAUAAAAGAGUUGUAUUCCAUUUGAUUAAAGUAACUAAAAGUGAAAGAAUGUUUUCUUGUACAAAAAGUUGAUUAUCUUUGAAUAUAUCUUUAAAAGUACAUUUCAUAAUUUGAGAAACUUAAGAAAAGAAA